rnacentral:lncRNA from 1 species
CAGGGCACUGUCACAGGCAAUGUGCUGGUAGGCACUGCAGGAGCUCCAGGGAAGAAUGGAAACUCUAUGGGAAAUAUGGGAAAAGCAAUCCUGGACAGCUUCAAGGAGCAAGGCAAACUUGAGCUCAGCCUUCAAGCAUGGGUAGAAUUUGGACUCAAGGAAGGACACAGGGAAUAUUAAAAGCAAAGAAGCUCUUUAUGACUACCAAUGAAGACAUUAACCUGACCAGAGAGGAGGAUACAGAGCUGAGAGAUGGAUCGGCCUUCCCCGUGGAGCACUCUGAGACAUGUCAUAGCUCAUUGACAUCUCGCAAUACAGGUCAAAAAGGUGAUGGCCACAGUGGCAGAACCUAGGAAGCCAAGAAGAAACCAGAGAAUGGAGACACAUGGCAGCAAUGGCAAGUCAUCAGACCCAGGAUUUCCCAAAGAACACUGGUCCAGGAAGAUGCUCUGUGAAAAAGUGUUCCCUGGUCGGAGAAAUUUGUGAAACACUUUGCAUAAUACUUAAAAGAAUGUAUGGCACAUCAAAGGUAAUAUGCAAUAAAAGAAUUCAUUUUUUUAAAA